UGGAGAUUCACAAUGCAUGAUAUGGAAGUUACCUGGCAAGCGAAGCGAGGAUUUUUGAACCUGCUGGUGAGGUGAUGGUGCAUCUAUGAAAACCAAGAUGUAGCUGUCAAGUGUUAUCUAUAAGGAAAGGACAUUCCAUCCAAGGGUUGGUAUGAACUGCAAGAAGUUACAGAAUGUUUGGACAUGGACUGAUAAGAGGAGAAAUGUAGAGAACUCAUCAAUCAAGGAAACUUCUGUCUGAAGGCCAAAGGGUGGUGGACGUUAGAAGUGGAGAAGCAGAAAGCCUUAAAAGAGAAACCUUUCCAAACCAGAGAUAUGCUCCUGAAUCUGCAGCAACAGGACUCCCACGGUCUUCAUGAAGGGCGACUGAUCAACGACUUCAGUGAAGUGCCACUGUGUGUAUGAAACCUCACAUGAGGGUUGGCCAGAAAGCAUGAGGCCUGGAUCUGACAUCCACCAACCCGCCGCCAUGGCGGGCCCCCGCACCUCCCCACGCCCGGUGCAGCGAGGGCCCACCAGCACCACCACCACCACCACCCCCAGCAACAGGACCAGCCUGAUUCUGAAGAUGGAGGAAUGUGAAUAAGAAGCAAAACAACCCUGAGGCUUGAGCUGCACAGAGGCCACCAUGUUAUGGGAAGAAUACACUUGGCAGGGCAGACUGGAUGCCUAAACUCAAUAUCUGGGCUGGUGUCAGAAACCAGUAUCCUUAAGCUGGAGCCCAUGACCCAGUGCUCAAAAAGAAAACUCCACCAUUGCCCCUCAUGCAUUUUUAAAUUGCCAGUUAUAACUGUUUGUU